rnacentral:rRNA from 1 species
CCUACGGGAGGCAGCAGUGAGGAAUAUUGGUCAAUGGACGCAAGUCUGAACCAGCCAUGCCGCGUGAAGGAAGACGGCUCUAUGAGUUGUAAACUGCUUUUGUACGAGGGUAAACGCAGAUACGAGUAUCUGUCUGAAAGUAUCGUACGAAUAAGGAUCGGCUAACUCCGUGCCAGCAGCCGCGGUAAUACGGAGGAUUCAAGCGUUAUCCGGAUUUAUUGGGUUUAAAGGGUGCGUAGGCGGUCGGAUAAGUUAGCGGUGAAAUCCCGGGGCUCAACUUCGGAAUUGCCUCUGAGACUGUUCGGCUAGAGAGGAGUUGCGGUAGGCGGAAUGUAUGGUGUAGCGGUGAAAUGCUUAGAGAUCAUACAGAACACCGAUUGCGAAGGCAGCUUACCAAGCUACUUCUGACGUUGAGGCACGAAAGCGUGGGGAGCGAACAGGAUUAGAUACCCGAGUAGUC